ACUUUCGGGUAUCCUAGAGCGGCGCACGGGUGCGUAACGCGUAUGCAACUUACCCUAUACUGGGGGAUAGCCCGGGGAAACCCGGAUUAAUACCCCAUGGCAUCAAGGAUUCGCAUGAUGACUUGAUUAAAGAUUUAUUGGUAUAGGAUGGGCAUGCGUCUGAUUAGCUAGUUGGUAGUGUAACGGACUACCAAGGCGACGAUCAGUAGGGGGUCUGAGAGGAUGAUCCCCCACACUGGCACUGAGAUACGGGCCAGACUCCUACGGGAGGCAGCAGUAGGGAAUAUUGGUCAAUGGGCGAGAGCCUGAACCAGCCACGCCGCGUGAAGGAUGAAGGCGUUCUGCGUUGUAAACUUCUUUUAUAGGGGAAGAAAAAGCUCAUGCGUGAGCAACUGACGGUACCCUAUGAAUAAGCACCGGCUAACUCCGUGCCAGCAGCCGCGGUAAUACGGAGGGUGCAAGCGUUGUCCGGAUUUAUUGGGUUUAAAGGGUGCGUAGGCGGGUUAUUAAGUCAGUGGUGAAAGCCGGCAGCUCAACUGUCGAACUGCCAUUGAUACUGAUAGUCUUGAGUAUAGUUGAGGUAGGCGGAAUGGAAGGUGUAGCGGUGAAAUGCAUAGAUAUCUUCCAGAACACCGAUAGCGUAGGCAGCUUACUAAGCUAUAACUGACGCUGAGGCACGAAAGCGUGGGGAGCGAACAGGAUUAGAUACCCUGGUAGUCCACGCCGUAAACGAUGUACACUCGCUGUUGG
rnacentral:rRNA from 1 species